UCGUUCUUUCACGAUGGCCGAACAACAAGUUGAAACAGCGCCUGCAGCAGAUCUAGGUGCUGAUCCCCAAAACGGAAGAUAUACCUGAGCCGGGGCACCACAUUCCAGUAAAUAUGCGGCUAAGAGGAGCUUGAAACAGAGGCAUAUUGCUUGAAAUAUUUCAAUACAGCAGCAGGACAGUGUGUUCUGGUCUCUCUGCACUGACCACAGUGUGACAGCUGCUGCUCUCUGCUGAGAGCCUUCUCUCUUCAGGUUACAGAGCAGGUAGAGGUGCGCUGCAUUCACAAGUCUUGCAGUGGAGAGCAUCAGCAUCCUGCUCCACAGAUUCCGUUGGUCCUGUCCUGGAUGACUCCAGCCUUCACCAGCUUCAGCAGGAACUUCUUCUCUUUCGAUAUGUUGUGAGUCCAGGACUACAGAGAAGACAGAGACACAGGACAGGAGCUAGUUGGUGGACAACACUCAACAGGCUACCUUCUAAAUGUCUCACUCUUUAAACCAACAUUUUAUUAAAAAUAAAUACAAUUUCCCCUUUCAAUAAACCAAGCACAAAAAGGUUGUGUAUCAAUGAGCAUUGAUACACAUAUUUUUGAGUUUUGUUCACAUCCGUAAAAAGGCCAAUAACCAUGGUGGCCGUCAGGUGCAAAUUCGCUACAAUGGCCCAAAACAUUCCCAUUGGAAGAAAUGCGCUGCAGCUUCAAAAAUAAUGCAAAUAUAAAAUCACAAAUGUGCCAAAACACAUGGAAAUGAAGAAUCAUCUUCACCAACUUGGAAACAAAUUCACUAACCUGACUAAAUAUGUGCAGCGUUUACUAAAAGCGCUCCUUUAGCAAAAUGCUGCAAAUACAAAACACUGCAAACUAAAAAAAAUGCCCAUAUUGCUGGAACCGGUUUUGGGAUUAUAAAGUUUGCCAACUGUAACUCUUGAUGGAAACAGUUUAUGAUUCAUUCCAAUAUUAUUGCAGAUCUGCUAGUAGCUAGCUUUCUAAACCAGUUAACCUAGUUCGGAAGGAAUGAUGUGAUCACAUUGUUAUAAUAAGCCAAUCAAACUUACAUUGUAGGAAACUUCCCACCAACAGUGACUGUUGGCCAUCUUUAUAAUCCCUGAACGUCAAGAAGCACUCUUGUUUCUGCUAAUGAAAAUGUUUUGGCCCGUUUGCAAUUGUCGGCCACCGUAGAUAACCCUUAUUUAGAAAGGGAAAAUAAGUAAAGCUAUGUCAUGCCGCUUACGCUGCUGCUUACUUUUGCUCAGCUUGUUUCUCUGAUAACUUAAGACCCAUGAAUAAAAUCCUUCAUCCAUUUCAAA